rnacentral:rRNA from 1 species
CCUACGGGAGGCUGCAGUGAGGAAUAUUGGUCAAUGGACGAGAGUCUGAACCAGCCAAGUAGCGUGAAGGAUGACUGCCCUAUGGGUUGUAAACUUCUUUUAUAAAGGAAUAAAACGAGGCACGUGUGCCUUUUUGCAUGUACUUUAUGAAUAAGGAUCGGCUAACUCCGUGCCAGCAGCCGCGGUAAUACGGAGGAUCCGAGCGUUAUCCGGAUUUAUUUGGUUUAAAGGGAGCGUAGAUGGGUUGUUAAGUCAGUUGUGAAAGUUUGCGGCUCAACCGUAAAAUUGCAAUGGAUACUGGCAGUCUUGAGUACAGUUGAGGUAGGCGGAAUUCGUGGUGUAGCGGUGAAAUGCUUAGAUAUCACGAAGAACCCCGAUUGCGAAGGCAGCUUACUAAACUGUGACUGACAUUGAUGCUCGAAAGUGUGGGUAUCAAACAGGAUUAGAUACCCUAGUAGUC